GACGAAGGGGGCUAGCGUUGCUCGGAAUGACUGGGCGUAAAGGGCGCGUAGGCGGUUUGUCCAGUCAGAUGUGAAAUUCCUGGGCUUAACCUGGGGGCUGCAUUUGAUACGUGCAGACUUGAGUGAGGAAGAGGGUUGUGGAAUUCCCAGUGUAGAGGUGAAAUUCGUAGAUAUUGGGAAGAACACCGGUGGCGAAGGCGGCAACCUGGUCCUUGACUGACGCUGAGGCGCGAAAGCGUGGGGAGCAAACAGG
rnacentral:rRNA from 1 species